AUUGAACGCUGGCGGCAGGCUUAACACAUGCAAGUCGAGCGGAGAGAGGUAGCUUGCUACUGAUCUUAGCGGCGGACGGGUGAGUAAUGCUUAGGAAUCUGCCUAUUAGUGGGGGACAACAUUUCGAAAGGAAUGCUAAUACCGCAUACGUCCUACGGGAGAAAGCAGGGGAUCUUCGGACCUUGCGCUAAUAGAUGAGCCUAAGUCGGAUUAGCUAGUUGGUGGGGUAAAGGCCUGCCAAGGCGACGAUCUGUAGCGGGUCUGAGAGGAUGAUCCGCCACACUGGGACUGAGACACGGCCCAGACUCCUACGGGAGGCAGCAGUGGGGAAUAUUGGACAAUGGGCGGAAGCCUGAUCCAGCCAUGCCGCGUGUGUGAAGAAGGCCCUAUGGUUGUAAAGCACUUUAAGCGAGGAGGAGGCUACUUUAGUUAAUACCUAGAGAUAGUGGACGUUACUCGCAGAAUAAGCACCGGCUAACUCUGUGCCAGCAGCCGCCGUAAAAC
rnacentral:rRNA from 1 species